rnacentral:rRNA from 1 species
AAAACAUGGUCUUUUGAAAAAAUAAUAGAUCUCUUCUGCUCAAUGAUAAAUUUAAAUAGCCGCAGUACUUUGACUGUGCUAAGGUAGCAAAAUAAUUUGACUCUUAAUUAGGGCCGCGUAUGAAAGAAAUAAUGGUUAAUAAGUGUCUUUUUUUUAAUAUCAAAAAUUUACUUAUUUGGUGAAAAUUCCAAUAAAAUAAAAUUAGACGAGAAGACCCUUAGAAUUUUCAAAAUUUAUAUUUACAAAUAUAUUUUUUUUUGUUGGGGCGACAAUAUAUACAAUAUAACUUAUAUAAUUUUACACAUCUUAAAAUAAUUUGUGAAAAUAAUUACCUAAGGGAUAACAGCAUAAUAAUUUUUUUGUUUGUGACCUCGAUGUUGGACUAGGGACUAAGGCGAUUAAAAAUUAUCUUAGUUUGCUUCUGUUCGAAGCUUUUUACCUACGUGAUCU